CCCACCCCAUCGGCCACGGCUAGUACAGUCAGCGCCGGCGUGAGGGAAGAGAGGUGUGUUGCUACUCUCCUGCACCGCCGCCGCCACUGGACCCCGGCAUUCCCAAAGACCCAAGAAACGACCAAGGGACACCCGGACGGCCUUGCAGUGUAUCCAGGGAGGAUGAGGGACCAAAGCUGUUAGGAUGACUGUGCGAAAGAUAUUACGCUGUUAUCUUUAAAUGAAUGGUGAGUGUACAGCAGGCAGGUCACAGCUCGAUGCAGGUGUGGUGCUGCGCUAUGAUCACGGCCAGGCGUCACAACUCUUCGGCAAGCUACCUGCACGAAGAGAUGCCUUGAACACCCCGAUGGAACAAUCCAGCUAUUUGAGAAAAGGGACAUCAACUUUCGAAAAAAAAAACUUGCAAAUGUUGCCUCUCAAUUUGAUAAAUUAAGUUAGCUGAUGUCCAGCUUAGCCCCCUCACGUACUAUGCUUAUCUAUUACUGUGUUAUAUUGUUUAUUGAAAUUUUUUUAAAAAAGGAUCAAGGAUGAUAAUUUAACAAAGCAUGUUUCAGAUCCUUCCCUAGUUUUGUCAAUAAGAGGCACUCAAUGAUAAAACCCAGUAGAUGAGGUGCUUCCUGAUGCAAGGCUAGCAAAUGCUUUGCCAAGAUAGUGUGCGCAUGCACAGGGAGGACAAUAUAUUAUACUGCAUCCGGCAUUGACACACGAGCUGUCCAGCUGUGAACACAACAGCGAAGGUGUUGGGUCGCAAGUUGAUUCAGUGACUGGGGAGCUAUAUCAAGGUUAUGUUAACUGUUAAAGUGAUGGAACUGAGAAAAUUCAAUUAUGAAAAGACAAAACAUGUGGAAAAAAGUUGGGCCCGGUGUUUGACGACCACCAGCAGAGGUGCACACUGCUGUGUCCACAGAAAUGUUUGCUAGCCUUGCAUCAGGAAACUCUUAAUCUGCCGGGUUUUAUCCUUGAGCACCAUAUAAGUGCAUGAAUUAUUCACAUGUUGAUAAAAGUGACAAAAGU